UACAGAGGGUGCAAGCGUUGUUCGGAAUCACUGGGCGUAAAGCGCACGUAGGCGGCAUCUUAAGUCGGGGGUGAAAUCCUGGAGCUCAACUCCAGAACUGCCUUCGAUACUGGGAUGCUCGAGUCCGGGAGAGGUGAGUGGAACUGCGAGUGUAGAGGUGAAAUUCGUAGAUAUUCGCAAGAACACCAGUGGCGAAGGCGGACUCACUGGCCCGGUAUGACGCUGAGGUGCGAAAGCGUGGGGAGCAAA
rnacentral:rRNA from 1 species